GGAUAUUGCACACCCACCUGAACACCUUUGCUUGGCAAUCGCACCCGAGAAUGAAGAAUAUCAUGAUAAUAUUUGAUUAUUAUUUGGUCUUUUACAUUUAAUACAACUUACGAUUUAGUCCUUAUGUUUAUUAUUGAAUUAUUAUUUAAUUCCUCAAUUUUUUGAUGGAAGACUAAAAAUUUUAAUAGAGAUAAACUUCAG
rnacentral:lncRNA from 1 species